rnacentral:rRNA from 1 species
CGCUGAAUCCUGCGGCCCAAGCGGGCCGCCGGGAAAUGUAGCGUCUGGGAGGAGAGUUAAUGGCGUCGUAACAGACGCCACACGCGCGGUCAACAUUAGUCACGGCCGCCUGUCCAAGUUCAUCUUGAACGGGGCCCCGAUUGCCCGCAGAGGGUGCCAGGCCCGUAGCGACGGCGGCCGGCCGCGACGGUCUCUCUCCCGAGAGUCGGGUUGCUUGAGAGUGCAGCCCUAAGCGGGUGGUAAACUCCAUCUAAGGCUAAAUAUUACCACGAGACCGAUAGCGAACA